AGAGUUUGAUCCUGGCUCAGGAUGAACGCUGGCGGCGUGCCUAAUACAUGCAAGUCGAGCGGACUUGAUGGGAGCUUGCUCCCUGAUAGUCAGCGGCGGACGGGUGAGUAACACGUGGGCAACCUACCUUUAAGACUGGGAUAACUUCGGGAAACCGGAGCUAAUACCGGAUAACAUGUAAGACCACAUGGUCUUGCAUUAAAAGAUGGCUUCGGCUAUCACUUAUAGAUGGGCCCGCGGCGCAUUAGCUAGUUGGUGAGGUAAUGGCUCACCAAGGCGACGAUGCGUAGCCGACCUGAGAGGGUGAUCGGCCACACUGGGACUGAGACACGGCCCAGACUCCUACGGGAGGCAGCAGUAGGGAAUCUUCCGCAAUGGACGAAAGUCUGACGGAGCAACGCCGCGUGAACGAUGAAGGCUUUCGGGUCGUAAAGUUCUGUUGUUAGGGAAGAACAAGUACCAGAGUAACUGCUGGUACCUUGACGGUACCUAACCAGAAAGCCACGGCUAACUACGUGCCAGCAGCCGCGGUAAUACGUAGGUGGCAAGCGUUAUCCGGGAAUUAUUGGGCGUAAAGCGCUCGCAGGCGGUCUUUUAAGUCUGAUGUGAAAGCCCACGGCUCAACCGUGGAGGGUCAUUGGAAACUGGGAGACUUGAGUGCAGAAGAGGAGAGUGGAAUUCCACGUGUAGCGGUGAAAUGCGUAGAGAUGUGGAGGAACACCAGUGGCGAAGGCGACUCUCUGGUCUGUAACUGACGCUGAGGAGCGAAAGCGUGGGGAGCGAACAGGAUUAGAUACCCUGGUAGUCCACGCCGUAAACGAUGAGUGCUAAGUGUUAGAGGGUUUCCGCCCUUUAGUGCUGCAGCAAACGCAUUAAGCACUCCGCCUGGGGAGUACGGUCGCAAGACUGAAACUCAAAGGAAUUGACGGGGGCCCGCACAAGCGGUGGAGCAUGUGGUUUAAUUCGAAGCAACGCGAAGAACCUUACCAGGUCUUGACAUCCUUAUGACUUCCCUAGAGAUAGGGCUUUCCCUUCGGGGACAUAAGUGACAGGUGGUGCAUGGUUGUCGUCAGCUCGUGUCGUGAGAUGUUGGGUUAAGUCCCGCAACGAGCGCAACCCUUGCCAUUAGUUGCUACGAAAGGGCACUCUAAUGGGACUGCCGGUGACAAACCGGAGGAAGGUGGGGAUGACGUCAAGUCCUCAUGGCCCUUAUAGGUGGGGCUACACACGUCAUACAAUGGCUGGUACAGAGGGUUGCCAACCCGCGAGGGGGAGCUAAUCCCAUAAAGCCAGUCGUAGUCCGGAUCGCAGUCUGCAACUCGACUGCGUGAAGUCGGAAUCGCUAGUAAUCGCGGAUCAGAAUGUCGCGGUGAAUACGUUCCCGGGUCUUGUACACACCGCCCGUCACACCAUGGGAGCGGGUUCUGCCAGAAGUGGUUAGCCUAACCGUAAGGGGGGCGAUCACCACGGCAGGGUUCGUGACUGGGGUGAAGUCGUAACAAGGUAACCGUA
rnacentral:rRNA from 1 species